UGGCGUAGUCUAUGGUGUAUUGUGCUUAUUUGUAUAUUGCACUGUUAAUCUUUUGUAUUAUGCAAAUAUUCACAAUUUGACCAAGCUUAAACAUCC
rnacentral:pre_miRNA from 1 species